rnacentral:rRNA from 1 species
CAGCCGCCGCGGUAAAACCAGCACCUCAAGUGGUCAGGAUGAUUAUUGGGCCUAAAGCAUCCGUAGCCCGUUUUGUAGUUUUCGGUUAAAUCCAUGCGCUUAACGUAUGGGCUGCCGGGAAUACUGCAUAACUAGGAAGUGGGAGAGGUAGACGGUACUCGGUAGGAAGGGGUAAAAUCCUUUGAUCUAUUGAUGACCACCUGUGGCGAAGGCGGCCUACCAGAACACGUUCGACGGUGAGGGAUGAAAGCUGGGGGAGCAAACCGAAUUAGAUACCCGGGUAGUCCCAGCUGUAAACUAUGCAAACUCAGUGAUGCAUUGGCUUAUGGCCAAUGCAGUGCUGCAGGGAAGCCGUUAAGUUUGCCGCCUGGGAAGUACGUACGCAAGUAUGAAACUUAAAGGAAUUGGCGGGGGAGCACCA